rnacentral:lncRNA from 1 species
CUUCCAGUUACCAUCCUACCGGAAUCAUACAAAGUCAAGCAAUUGGAUAGACCCUCCUUGGAGGAAAUACUAGCACAAAACCAGGAGGGAGCAGGAAAGAUGAAGACUCUGCCACUGCUGAUAUGUGUCUGUGCUCUGAGCACUUGCUUCCAGUUCAGCGAAGGUGAAAGAGAUAGUCACUACCUAUAUUACAAAAAGAAACUUCACCAUCGACCUAAACCUGUCAAGUCACAUCAUUCUGGAUUACCAAUUCAGCAGAAUCCAUGGCAAAAACGACCUCUACGCCCACCCUUUAGGCCUAAGCCUCCACACAUUACGCCUAAACCUCCGCAUCCACCUCCUCUAUUUCCAGAUCACCUCCAGACAACUAAUACUCCAGUUAAAAGUACCACUGUGGUCAACAAUAAUACUCCAGAGACUACUACACAAAGUCUGGUUUUGGUCACCACAUCUGCUGCCAACAGCCCUAUUGCUCAGAAUUCUCCCACCACAGCCUCUUCUGAAACUACAUCAACACCACUUCCUUCUUCAGUCCCACCAGAGACCACCACUGCCCAAACUCCAUCUCCCCCAACUACAGUAGCAUCCCAACCUUCUCCAGCCACACCAGAGACCACAACCUCACAAACUACACCUCCCCCAACUACAGUAGCAUCACAACCUUCUCCAGCCACACCAGAGACCACACCUUCACAAAGUACAUCUCCCCCAACUGCAGCAACACCACAACCUUCUUCAGCCCCACCAGAAGCUACAGCUGUCCCAACCCCUGAAACCACAACUGAUCCCAUAGCUACAACACCUACGCCAACCACUAACCCAACUACACCUUCCCUACAGGAUAUAUUUGAGCAAUUUGCCAGACAGGCUCUAAUUCGCCUUAUUCAGCUUCUUAACAGUCAGUAGUAUAUCAUACAUUAUGGAGGAUUCUGCCAUCCAUGUAAUGUAUGAGGGCAGAGCUACCAUCUUUACUUUGACCACAAAUAUCAAACUGAAAUAUUACUCAGGUUGAAAGUACUCUCAUUAGUCUUUGAAUCAAACUGUUCACCUCACAUGAUCAAUUAACACAACCAAUCACCUCUAUGCCACAACAAGUAUGUGUCUGUGAUCAAGAUCUCUGUUUGGAACACACAAAGUAGUUCAUUGAAGGGACAAAAAGUCAUUAGAUAAAGAAACACUGCAUGGCUCAUCAACCAUUUACCCUAAAUGUUGGAGAAUACAAGGUCAUGACCCUAUAUUUAAGCACAAACCCACUGGAGUCAGCUAAUCCUAUGAACUUGGGGAGAAAAAACUGGAUUUCUUCAUGUGAGCAAAAACAGCAGACCAUAUAUCAAAAUUAGGUAGAUUGAUGCAUCCAUCUUCCUAUCUCUUUAUAUUCAUCUAUUUAUAGACAGAAUCAUUAUAUUGCUGAUCAAUAACAAAAACCUUUACAUAACUAUCUUAAAUUCAAAUGAAAUUCCAUUCCACAAAAUGUGAGCCAAGAAAAGGAAAAAAUAAAAAUAAGUAAAAAUGAAAUCUCUGGCAGCUACUCGCAAACCAAGACUCUGACAGUACAUUACUCAGAGCAUGUAAUUGUUUAAAAUUUAUGGUUGGUGUCUACUGUAUUACAUCUAAGUUAAUUUUUAUAUACUGUACUAGAUUCUAGCCUCUGUGAACAACAGAAAGACUUUUCCUAUGUAUGCAUUUUAUUACUAGAUCAAUUAAUUUACAUGAAUUAAGUCACUGUAAAGUAUAUACCAUAGUGGAAUAUUUUCAAAAAAUGUUUGUCAUAUAUUUGAUUAGUCAUAUAUUGCAAAGCAAACCAUACUAAUUUAACCAUUCAAAUAUCAAGUUGGUAAAACUGUCUAUGAAAAUAAACCCUGGCUUUAAUUGGUAGAAGGAUAAAUAUUAUCUAGUUGGUAUAUAGAGAUGUUAACUUGAAAAGUGAAGUUAUUUUAUUCUUGUCACUACUAUUAAAAAAUCUGGUGAUUAUAUUUUGAUUUUUUCACUAAUAAAGACUUCAAAUGGCAACUUAUUUUAUUGUGUUCCUUGCCUUCCUGAAGCUGUAGUGGAAAGGAGGCCUAAAGGCU